rnacentral:sRNA from 1 species
UUAGCAGCCUUGGAGGCCAGAGUCAUCUCUUUAUGCACAAAAUAGUUGCAGAAAUGAACAGUAGCAGUGCAGGCUUCUCCCCACUGCUCUGCUAAUGUACCUCAGAGUAGAAAUGAAUGAUUACUCAGAGACAGGGUAAUUUAGUUCCCCGUUCGUUAACUCUUUGGCUUCU